rnacentral:rRNA from 1 species
CCUACGGGCGGCAGCAGUGGGGAAUAUUGGACAAUGGGGGCAACCCUGAUCCAGCCAUGCCGCGUGUGUGAAGAAGGCCCUCGGGUUGUAAAGCACUUUCAGUGAGGAAGAACGCCUGGUGGUUAAUACCCAUCAGGAAAGACAUCACUCACAGAAGAAGCACCGGCUAACUCCGUGCCAGCAGCCGCGGUAAUACGGAGGGAGCGAGCGUUAAUCGGAAUUACUGGGCGUAAAGCGCGCGUAGGUGGCUUGAUAAGCCGGUUGUGAAAGCCCCGGGCUCAACCUGGGAACGGCAUCCGGAACUGUCAAGCUAGAGUGCAGGAGAGGAAGGUAGAAUUCCCGGUGUAGCGGUGAAAUGCGUAGAGAUCGGGAGGAAUACCAGUGGCGAAGGCGGCCUUCUGGACUGACACUGACACUGAGGUGCGAAAGCGUGGGUAGCAAACAGGAUUAGAUACCCCGGUAGUC